rnacentral:rRNA from 1 species
UACGAAGGGGGCUAGCGUUACUCGGAUUGACUGGGCGUAAAGGGCGCGUAGGCGGCUUGUACAGUCAGACGUGAAAUUCCUGGGCUCAACCUGGGGGCUGCGUUUGAUACGUGCGGGCUUGAGUUCGGAAGAGGGUCGUGGAAUUCCCAGUGUAGAGGUGAAAUUCGUAGAUAUUGGGAAGAACACCGGUGGCGAAGGCGGCGACCUGGUCCGAUACUGACGCUGAGGAACGAAAGCCAGGGGAGCGAACGGG